rnacentral:rRNA from 1 species
AUUGAACGCUGGCGGCAUGCUUUACACAUGCAAGUCGUACGGUAACAGGCCUUCGGGUGCUGACGAGUGGCGAACGGGUGAGUAAUGCAUCAGAACGUACCCAAAGUUGGGUGAUAACGCAGCGAAAGCGGUGCUAAUACCGCAUGUGAUCUGAAGAUUAAAGCGGGGGACCGAGCAGCAAUGUUUGGCCUCGCGCCUUUGGAGCGGCCGAUGUCGGAUUAGCUAGGUGGUGGGGUAAAGGGCUACAAAGGCAACGAUCCGUAGCGGGUCUGAGAGGACGACAAGCCACACUAGGACUGAGACACGGCACAGACUCGUACCGGAGGCAGCGGUGGAGAAUUUUGGACAAUGGGCGCAAGCCUAAUCCAGCACUGCCGCGUGCGGGAAGAAGGCCUUCGGCUUGGAAAACGCUUUUGGCAGGAACGAAGAGGUGUCCGCUAAUAUCGGGCGCAAAUGACGGUACCUGAAGAAUAAGCACCGGCUAACUACGUG